rnacentral:lncRNA from 1 species
CAAUGGUAUACAAUUAAAACAUUAUUGAUACUUUAAUUUUAGAUGGUUGUUUACUUAAAUAAUUUUAUAAUUUAUAAUCAAAGUUUUUAUUAAAGAUUAAACAAUUAAAAUUUAUUGAUAGAAACUCUACUAAUAAAUCACUACUUAAAUAAACACUAUUUAAAAAGAUACGCUAAAUUAAUGAGUUUUAUCACAUCAAUAAGGACUGAUCGAGUAUACGACGUUGUACACAAAACUACCUAAUCAUAAUUUGUCACGCACCAUAUCGCGCACUCAAUCAAAAUUUUCACAUUGGCUAUGGUAUCUAAUGGAUUUCAUGCUACAUAGUCCGUGCACUACCAAAUUUUUUUUUUUAAUCUUUUUUUUUUUAACUACCAAAAUGGGGUCCAAACGGUUUAAUAUGAUAAACCCCAAGAAUACAUUAGUUGGACGUCACUCGGAGUUGGCUAUGUAGUAAAUAACCUCUCUUAAUUCUUAAUGUUAGGCUUUUGAAUUCAUAACAACCAACAACUUAUGAUUCAAUCUUUCGUUUUCAACUUAAUAAUUAAAAAUACGACCCCCCAAACUUUUGUUUGGCAGGGCCAAUUCAGGCAUACGUCGAACAAUAAUCUGCCACGACUCUUCAAGAACAAUAGUUUGAUUUGGUUGGAUUAUGUGAUUAUUUAAUUACCCAACGUCACGAUGGGAUUUGUUCUUAAUGCCCAAUUCAAUUUGAUUUGAAGUACACGUUAUGUGCUUAAUUUGAUAAUAAUUGUUACUUUACUUGCGGGCAUGGACAGCAUUCAAGAUUCUACGUGUUGUUGUUUCUUGGCAACUCAUCAACAUGUUUAUCCACUGCCUUUUUAUUUAUUCUUCUCUUUUGUGUUUUUAUUUGGUUUUGAGCCUCAUCUGUUCAUUUAAUAUUACGGAGGCCAAAAAAAAAAAAAAAAAAAUGAAAUAGAGAAGCAAUUCUCACUAACAUAUAUUUUUAAAAAUAUUAUCAAAAAUUGGCAAGUGUUUGUGCAUCAUAUUUAUUGCGAAGUUAUUUCGCGACAGACUUCAUUGGUUAGUCAUGCCCAUUACAAAAUAUUUUGGUAAAUUGAGUGUCUAUAACUGAUGAGUUAACUAUUGUUGUUAGUCCAAUUAAUAACUUAGACAUAAUUUUGUAAAGACAAUUUUUUUUUUAUGGUUUUGUUUCCGUACGUGCAACCAAAAUCAUUGAAUUUUGAAUAUUAAGCACUCUAUUUCAAUUUCCGUACAACAUAUUGGAUUUGUGCAUGAGAGAAAAUGCACAUUCGAUUGUACCGUUUGUGUUUGUUUGUUGCUUAAGAAAACAAAAAAGGAAGGUUAGUCGUUUCCAUCAACAAUGUAUUGAAGAAGACAAAUGUACAGAAUGAGAUGAUUUGACAGCAUGAGGAAUAGCUUCUCAUGUUUUUAUUUUAUUGAUAUUCGAAAAUCAAAACGUUCCAUUUCUGCCAAGCAAUCCGAAUCCACAAAUGGACCAAUCGACCGUUUUUUUCGCCCUCAUACUGUUGCUUGAUUGUGAUUCAAUGUGCUCUUUCUAAUUUAACCAGUGAAAACGAUAAAUACGAUCUGUCGGUUCUUUCAAAUUUUGUUUUUAAUAAUGUUGUAUUGGAUUAUUACUAAAAUAUUAUAUCAAAUAUGACAAUUUAUAUUUACAAUUAA